UGAACGCUAGCUACAGGCUUAACACAUGCAAGUCGAGGGGCAGCAUGUGGUUGCUUGCAACCAAUGAUGGCGACCGGCGCACGGGUGAGUAACGCGUAUCCAACCUUCCCCUUAGUAGAGGAUAGCCCGGCGAAAGUCGGAUUAAUACUCUAUGUUCUUCAAUGCGGGCAUCUAAGUUGAAGCAAAGAUUUAUCGCUAAGGGAUGGGGAUGCGUCUGAUUAGGUUGCAGGCGGGGUAACGGCCCACCUGGCCUACGAUCAGUAGGGGUUCUGAGAGGAAGGUCCCCCACACUGGUACUGAGACACGGACCAGACUCCUACGGGAGGCAGCAGUGAGGAAUAUUGGUCAAUGGGCGCGAGCCUGAACCAGCCAAGUAGCGUGCAAGGACGACUGCCCUAUGGGUUGUAAACUGCUUUUAUCAGGGAAUAAAGUGAGGCACGCGUGCCUUUUUGUAUGUACCUGAUGAAUAAGGACCGGCUAAUUCCGUGCCAGCAGCGGC
rnacentral:rRNA from 1 species